GACGAACGCUGGCGGCGUGCCUAAUACAUGCAAGUUGAGCGCUGAAGGUUGGUACUUGUACCCACUGGAUGAGCAGCGAACGGGUGAGUAACGCGUGGGUAAUCUGCCUUUGAGCGGGGGACAACAUUUGGAAACGAAUGCUAAUACCGCAUAAAAACUUUAAACACAAGUUUUAAGUUUGAAAGAUGCCAUUGCAUCACUCAAAGAUGAUCCCGCGUUGUAUUAGCUAGGUGGUGAGGUAAAGGCUCACCAAGGCGAUGAUACAUAGCCGACCUGAGAGGGUGAUCGGCCAAAAUGGGACUGAGACAAGGCUCAAACCUCUAAGGGAGGCAGCAGUAGGGAAUCUUCGGAAAUGGACGAAAGUCUGGCCGAGCAACGCCGCGGGAGUGAAGAAGGUUGUCGGAUCGGAAAACUCUGUUGGUAGAGAAGAACGUUGGUGAGAGUGGAAAGCUCAUGAAGUGACGGUAACUAAACAGAAAGGGACGGCUAACUACGUG
rnacentral:rRNA from 1 species